rnacentral:lncRNA from 1 species
UUUAUAGAUCAAAAUAUAGAUCUGUUAUGUACUUGCCAACAAUUUUUAUUUUAUAAUUUUUGUUUGAUGUUUAGGAAAUGUUUUACCUGUGGCAGAAAAUUUAAAUGGUGCCAUACAGGCAUAUACAGGGAUAGUUGUCAAGAAAAUAUAUAAUUAAACAAGGUCAUAUUUGAAGAAUUUGGUGAAAGUGGUAUUUGUGAAUGACAAAGUUCAGGCAAAAGACAUAUUGGACAACAUGGAUGUACAUAAUUUUGCUGUUCAUUUAUUUCAUCAAGUCAGGAACUGGCCGAACUGCAGUCUGCAUAGUGUCAUGUUUGUAAUAUUUUCAAACAAGAUUCACCUGAUCACCACCCAACAAUGGCUUGUUGUUGGACUUCCGGGAACACCGGUAUUCUAGUUUAUAUUCAAAUGUUACUUGUUCGAACUAGUUUGUGUUAGAACAUUCACAAGGUACAGCAUCUAAUUCUUAUUAGUAUGUAAAAACUGAAGCAACA